UUGAGGUCUCUCUCUUCUCUUUUUUGCUCACAAAAUUCAAAUUUCCGUCUCAACCGCGCGGCGAGAAUUCACUUUACGCGUUUCUUUUUUGUCACUUUUUUCCAGACUCUCUUUCCGAUCACGAUAGUCUG
ensembl:ncRNA D1022.12 ncRNA